GGCGUGCCUAAUACAUGCAAGUAGAACGCUGAAGAGAGGAGCUUGCUCUUCUUGGAUGAGUUGCGAACGGGUGAGUAACGCGUAGGUAACCUGCCUUGUAGCGGGGGAUAACUAUUGGAAACGAUAGCUAAUACCGCAUAACAAUGGAUGACCCAUGUCAUUUAUUUGAAAGGGGCAAAUGCUCCACUACAAGAUGGACCUGCGUUGUAUUAGCUAGUAGGUGAGGUAACGGCUCACCUAGGCGACGAUACAUAGCCGACCUGAGAGGGUGAUCGGCCACACUGGGACUGAGACACGGCCCAGACUCCUACGGGAGGCAGCAGUAGGGAAUCUUCGGCAAUGGGGGCAACCCUGACCGAGCAACGCCGCGUGAGUGAAGAAGGUUUUCGGAUCGUAAAGCUCUGUUGUAAGUCAAGAACGAGUGUGAGAGUGGAAAGUUCACACUGUGACGGUAGCUUACCAGAAAGGGACGGCUAACUACGUGCCAGCAGCCGCGGUAAUACGUAGGUCCCGAGCGUUGUCCGGAUUUAUUGGGCGUAAAGCGAGCGCAGGCGGUUUGAUAAGUCUGAAGUUAAAGGCUGUGGCUCAACCAUAGUUCGCUUUGGAAACUGUCAAACUUGAGUGCAGAAGGGGAGAGUGGAAUUCCAUGUGUAGCGGUGAAAUGCGUAGAUAUAUGGAGGAACACCGGUGGCGAAAGCGGCUCUCUGGUCUGUAACUGACGCUGAGGCUCGAAAGCGUGGGGAGCGAACAGGAUUAGAUACCCUGGUAGUCCACGCCGUAAACGAUGAGUGCUAGGUGUUGGAUCCUUUCCGGGAUUCAGUGCCGCAGCUAACGCAUUAAGCACUCCGCCUGGGGAGUACGACCGCAAGGUUGAAACUCAAAGGAAUUGACGGGGGCCCGCACAAGCGGUGGAGCAUGUGGUUUAAUUCGAAGCAACGCGAAGAACCUUACCAGGUCUUGACAUCCCGAUGCUAUUUCUAGAGAUAGAAAGUUACUUCGGUACAUCGGUGACAGGUGGUGCAUGGUUGUCGUCAGCUCGUGUCGUGAGAUGUUGGGUUAAGUCCCGCAACGAGCGCAACCCCUAUUGUUAGUUGCCAUCAUUCAGUUGGGCACUCUAGCGAGACUGCCGGUAAUAAACCGGAGGAAGGUGGGGAUGACGUCAAAUCAUCAUGCCCCUUAUGACCUGGGCUACACACGUGCUACAAUGGUUGGUACAACGAGUUGCGAGUCGGUGACGGCAAGCUAAUCUCUUAAAGCCAAUCUCAGUUCGGAUUGUAGGCUGCAACUCGCCUACAUGAAGUCGGAAUCGCUAGUAAUCGCGGAUCAGCACGCCGCGGUGAAUACGUUCCCGGGCCUUGUACACACCGCCCGUCACACCACGAGAGUUUGUAACACCCGAAGUCGGUGAGGUAACCUUUUGGAGCCAGCCGCCUAAGGUGGGAUAGAUGAUUGGGGUGAAGA
rnacentral:rRNA from 1 species